rnacentral:lncRNA from 1 species
GCACGCAAGUGCGUAACGAAUUUUCGUCCAUUUCUUUUCAGUUUUCUGGUGACUUUUUCCCCGGUUCGUGCUCAUAUCUCGAGAUUCAAAGAAUCGAACAUACGCUGGCCAGCAUAGGAGGGACCGAGGGAGUGUAUCAACGAGGACAUGUAUAAUAAUUUAGACAACUGCUAUCUAUAUAACUUGCCAUGUCAUAUAUAGACAGGAAUAGAGAUAGCUUAUACAGCAGGUUGUCUAUUUGAUUGUCUGCAGAUUAUUUAAAGCAUGUAUGUGUUCAUGAUCAAGCAUAAACUUGAUUUUUAUGUACAGUUUUGUUGCUUAUUUGAUUCAAAAAAAGAUCAAUUAUAACUAAGAUGAACAUAAAUACAAAUAUAAUAUAAUAGGCCUAAAUGAUGUUGUUAGAAGCACAAAUACAAUACAAUCUAUAACAAGCAUUUAACUUGGAUCAAUAUUUAUUCACACAUGGAAUUGUAUUUAGCUAUUUACACAAAUUCACUUGAGACUCGAGAGUAGUUGUUCCUUAUGCAAGUGGGAUUUUUCAAGGGAGGUUUCAGUAAGUUCCCAAGAUACAAAAAUAUAGAUAGGGAUUUUGUGAUUUCGUAGGGGUCAAACUGGAAAUUGCCAUAAACAUAUCAAACCAGGUUAAUGGAGGGGCUCCAUGGGCAGCGGCUCUGAUGGUCGGCCUCGCUGGCACUCCGGUGGGUGGGGUUAAGGGGGGCAAGCAACGAAAGGGAUAGAGGAGUUCAUCGCCCCGUGUGAGUACUCACUGGCGCC